AAAUUUUCUCUCUGCAGCACAAAGAUCAAAAUGAGAAGCRGUGCUGCACGAAGGAAGCUCUGAAAGAUCAGAGAUUUACAGCAGGAGCUGGAAGUACAGAGGAAAUUGUUAGAAAAUCCACCCAAGAAAAUAAUUUAGGCGAAUGCAUUUUCUCUGCCGGAAGGCAGCAGGCCAGAGCAGCACUGAGCCGCUGUGUUUCUGAGCUGCGGGAAUUUGCACAAUUAUCAGAUGGGCUAAUCCGAGACCGAGUCGUUUUAUGGAUCACCGAUGGCCAAGUCUAGCGGUGGCACUGCGAGAACUCGGCGACUGUGAAUUCUGGAUGCCUCAAAUAAACAUUUGGCUCUGUCGGCUCUGAAUAGGAGAGUCAAACAUGUAGCUUAAAAACAAACAAACAGUCUGCAUUUACUAUUAAACUAAGUGGCAAAAAAAAGACCUUCAUUAAGAGGAACAGCUGAUACAGGAACUGCAGAAUCACAACUCUCUUCUUGACAAUUAUUUUGCCUGAUAAAAUUAUUAGAAGUGUUUUUAAGUGUUUAGUUAUGAGAAAGCUGUUUACUGAUGCAUUUAUAGGAGCUUACUGAUGUUCUAAUUAUUUGGAAAUACAUUGUAUUAAGGAGUUUUAUAAUUUAUUAUGAUGGACCUAAAAAUGAUAAUAAGAGUAAAAAAAAAGGCUAUGGAAAGCUGAGCUAAGUAGGUUCAUUAGAUCAAGUUACAGUUUGUAAUAGAAGGAAGUCUUGAUAUUCAGAAAAAUGAACCAGUGGUUCAGUUCAUGCUUUGCAAAAAUGUCACAUUAAGGCAGCUAAAUGGUUGGGAUAUUCAUCGCUUGGAAGUGAAUUGCUUCAGAUGAGGAUUCUGGGAUCUGUAAGAUUACU